rnacentral:rRNA from 1 species
AUUGAACGCUGGCGGCAUGCUUUACACAUGCAAGUCGAACGGCAGCGCGGGCUUCGGCCUGGCGGCGAGUGGCGAACGGGUGAGUAAUACAUCGGAACGUGCCCAGUAGUGGGGGAUAGCUCGUCGAAAGCCGGAUUAAUACCGCAUACGACCUGAGGGUGAAAGCGGGGGAUCUUCGGACCUCGCGCUAUUGGAGCGGCCGAUGGCCGAUUAGCUAGUUGGUGGGGUAAAGGCCUACCAAGGCGACGAUCUGUAGCUGGUCUGAGAGGACGACCAGCCACACUGGGACUGAGACACGGCCCAGACUCCUACGGGAGGCAGCAGUGGGGAAUUUUGGACAAUGGGCGAAAGCCUGAUCCAGCAAUGCCGCGUGUGUGAUGAAGGCCUUCGGGUUGUAAAGCACUUUUGGCGGGAACGAAAAGGACUGUGCCAAUACCACGGUUCGAUGGCGGUACCCGCAGAAUAAGCACCGGCUAACUACGUG